CGCUAGCCUCCCAAGAAAGCUCCUCACCCCAGCAUAGUGCAGGGAAGGGGCUGACUCCUGAAACUGUACUUAUUUGGCUAAAGCUCCGCAUAUAAAGGGCAUUGAGGGAACUGAACGUUGCGGUAGUAGUCAUCUCUGGAGAACAGGGCCAAGGGCACUGGCCAAGGGCAGACUGACUCUGCUGGAAAUCACCUCUCUACAGGAAGCUCUCAGUUCUGUUGAUCCCCAGGCUGAAAGCCUUCCACAAAACACUCAGAUGUGCACAUGUGGAGGAGGACCUGCAGACCUUGCUUCUCUGUCUACCACGUGGGUUCUAGGAAUCCAACUCAGGUCAACAGGAUUGGCAGGUAGGAGCCCUUACACACUGAACCAUCUUGCUGGCUCAAGAAAAUCUUAAGACUAAACCAACCAGCCAACAAAAACCAAUAAGUAAUUUACUCCAGUUUAUCAUAGGCUUUUGAAAAAUAUCUACUAUAAGAUUGAUUUGCUGAAAUGUCGCGAUCAAUUUUUAUUUCAUUUAUUGAACCUCUUCAAUUUGAACUUCUGUAGUACUUGCCAGAUGUCUUCUCAGGCCCAAA